UGCUAAGCAUAAUACAGUGUUUCAAAGG
rnacentral:piRNA from 1 species